rnacentral:pre_miRNA from 1 species
AAGAUACUCCCUCCAUCUGAAAAUAUUUGUCCUCAAAAUGGUUGUAUCUAGACUUAUUUUAGUUAUAGAUAUAUUCAUUUUUUCCAUUUCAAGACAAGUAGUUCUAGAUAGAGGGGGUAUAUA